rnacentral:rRNA from 1 species
ACACUCCUACGGGAGGCAGCAGUGGGGAAUUUUGGACAAUGGGCGAAAGCCUGAUCCAGCAAUGCCGCGUGAGUGAAGAAGGCCUUCGGGUUGUAAAGCUCUUUUGUCAGGGAAGAAACGGUGAGAGCUAAUAUCUUUUGCUAAUGACGGUACCUGAAGAAUAAGCACCGGCUAACUACGUGCCAGCAGCCGCGGUAAUACGUAGGGUGCAAGCGUUAAUCGGAAUUACUGGGCGUAAAGCGUGCGCAGGCGGUUUUGUAAGUCUGAUGUGAAAUCCCCGGGCUCAACCUGGGAAUUGCAUUGGAGACUGCAAGGCUAGAAUCUGGCAGAGGGGGGUAGAAUUCCACGUGUAGCAGUGAAAUGCGUAGAUAUGUGGAGGAACACCGAUGGCGAAGGCAGCCCCCUGGGUCAAGAUUGACGCUCAUGCACGAAAGCGUGGGGAGCAAACAGGAUUAGAAACCCGUGUAGUCCC